CACGAGGUGGCCGAGUGGUUAAGGCGAUGGACUGCUAAUCCAUUGUGCUCUGCACUCCGUGGGUUCGAAUCCCAUCCUCGUCG
rfam:Ciona savignyi cont_34565, whole genome shotgun sequence.